CUAAUUACAAGUCCCAAAAUAAGUCGCAAAUGUUCAUGGCAUAACACUGUUUUAAACAUACUAAAACAGAAAGUAUAGAUUAACAAUUUGAAUGAAAAAGAAAAACAGAGGAAAACAACUAGCAAGUAUGGAGAUCUUCAUUUGUUGAAUGAAAAAGAAAAACAAAGGAAAACAUCUAGCAAGUAUGGAGAUCUUCAUUUCUUCAAAACACAUGAACCCUUCUUACAUGUAUAGAAUAAGGAUAUGUACCUGGAAGUUAAGAUGGAAAUAAGGAGAUUAUUUAAUCUAAGAAGCAAUAAAGCCAGCCUAGAAUUCGCAGUCAAAGAGUGAAACCAGCUAAAAAACUCAAUGGAGCAAUUAACCCACACCCAAGCUUGAACCAAAACUUUCCAAAACACAACUUCAAUCUAUUUCAACCCCAGGAGAAGAAACUAUGAUUUUUAGAGGUUUUUGUUAACCAAAUGAAAUCAGAAGACUCAGCAACGAGCAGAAUUUGAACAGUUUUUGAAAUAAAAAUGUGAGAAAUUCAGGAUUCUCAAGAACUCGGCCGUUUUAGUUUUCUC
rnacentral:lncRNA from 1 species